UUAAAUUAAAAUACCUAUCAUACCCCUCUCAUUUCACUGUUCUUUCCCUCAUUGCCUUUUGAAACACAUGCAUUCAACCCCUUGUUUCUCUCCUCAAACACUCAUAGAUCAAAGCACUCAUCAAAUCCGGCGACUCCAACGACUGUGACAAUCCCUCAUCAAUCAUGACUUUGCCGAUAAUCUCACCCACAUCCACUCUCUGUCCACGGUGCAUCUUUCUCUAUCUUAGCUUUCUUUCCCCAGUGAAGGUGUCUUCAAUGCUAUCCAUCGUAGCUAUGCUUUGGUUCACUUUCUUUUUUCAUCCAUGGUCUCAUGGUUGUAAAUGAGCGUAUUACUAGACUGCGACCUCAUGAAUUCCACUUGAUAAAGGCAAGGGGAAAGUCGACCAACCAUGAGUACGGAGAGCGUGAAGCGACACGUACAUGUUUGGCCUGCUUGGAUGCCACGACCAGGGGUAUUUUCGGGAGACGCUUGUAUUAAACCUAAUUUUUUCAUUUAGUCAACUUUAAUUAUAUUUUGAGUUGUAAAUAUUUCUAAACAAUAUUUUUGGAUCCCAAAUG